AUGCUCAUCCUCGGCGGGGGGUUAAGGGGGUGUCUGAGACCCCGAAUCACCCCCCCAAACCCCCCCCACCUCCACCCCGAAUUAAAUUUAAGCUGUUUCUUUGCAGUCAAGGCCAGCGACCCCGUCGUCUACCCGCUGGCCUCGUGCGACUGCGCCAGCUGCGGGGCCAACCUCACCCUCGGCUGCUUCGUCAGCGAUUUCUUCCCCCAACCCGUCACCGUCACGUGGGUUUCCAAAGUCCCCGGCGACAUCGAGACCUUCCCGGCCUUAGCGAGCAGCAGCAGCCUCUAUAAGCUCAGCUCAGAAAUCACCGUCGCCCCCGCCGACGGCUUGGAUAGCGAGACCUUCCAGUGCAAGGCCUACCAAAGCGCCACCGGCAAAACCGCCACUGGCAGCGUCAAAGGUGUCAACUCGUGCUGUAACAAUAAGCCUGUGACCGUAAAGCUCCUGAGCGACCCCAACAAAUACCGGAACGAGAACAAGGUCCUGCUGCUGUGCCUGGUCGAGGGGAGGAAGGCUGGCGAAAGCCAAGUGCAGUGGUUGGUCAACCACGACGUGGCCAACCUCAACCCGGAAGUCUACGCCUGCGACCAGUGCUCCGACAACAUGGCCGCCUUCACGAGCCAGGUCAACGUCAGCAAGGAGACGUGGGAGGCGGGGGCGGAGUUCUCCUGCAAAGUGACCAAUCCCACGCUGAAGGAGGCUGCGGUCGCCAACAUCAGCACUUUCUGCUCAGAUACUAAACCGGCGGUGACCGUCACCCUCCUCCCCCCGUCCUUGGAGGACCUUUACCUCAGCCAGAACGGCAGCGUCACGUGCCUGGCGACCAACCUGAAGUCAACCGAGGACGUGAAGUUCACCUGGAACCGGGAUCAAGGCAAAGCCUUGGACGCCAUCUUGGGGAAACCCCAAAAACUACCCAACGGGCUCUUCAGCCUCACCAGCACGUUGAAGAUCUGCGCCGACGAGUGGAAUUCCGGCGAGAAGUUCACCUGCACCGUCCAGGUCCCCGAACUCGGCAAACCCAUCACAAAAUCCAUUCAGAAAGACAUAGCCGUCUCCGUGAAGGCACCUUCCGUCUACGUCUUCCCGCCGCCGGCCGAGGAAUUGGCCCGUCAGGAAACGGCUACUUUGACCUGCCUGGUUUUGGGGUUCCGCCCCCGCGACGUCCUGGUGACGUGGACCCAACAGGAUCGUCCCGUGCCGCCGAGUAGCGUCGCCAUCUUUGGGCCGGAGGAAGACGGCGGCGCUUUCUCCGCCUACAGCAUGUUGAGCGUGCCGGCGGCCGACUGGCAACGCGGCGACUCCUUCGCGUGCGUGGUGGGCCACGAGGGCAUCCCCAUGAACUUCGUGCAGAAGAGUUUGGAUAAAAGCUUGGGUAAACCCACCGCCGUCAACGUUUCGGUCAUCCUCGCCGAUUCCGACGUCACCUGUUAUUGAGCGCGGCCGGGGCGGGGAGGCGGGAAGACGCGCGGGGCUGUAAUUCCGCAUCCAAAUAAACCAAAAAAAACCAAAAAACAACAAAAAAAAAACCCCCAAAUGAGACCCAAAACCCCCCAAACCCUCCCCCCCUCCCCGUAAAUCAAACCCGGUAUCGUGCCGACGCCACACUUGGGCCGGGGGGGUGUGUUUUCCCACCCCUCCCCCACCUCAACCAUCGCCCUUCCC